AACGCACAUUGCGCCCCUUGGUAUUCCGGGGGGCAUGCCUGUUCGAGCGUCAUUACAACCCUCAAGCCUGGCUUGGUACUGGGCUUCGCCACUAACCUGGCGGGCCUUAAAAUCAGUGGCGGUGCCUCCGAGGCCCUGAGCGCAGUAAAUAUCCUCGCUAUAGGGACCCGGUGGUUACUGGCCAGCAACCCCGACUUUCUAAGUUUGACCUCGGAUCAGGUAGGGAUACCCGCUGAACUUAA
rnacentral:misc_RNA from 1 species